rnacentral:misc_RNA from 1 species
UCCGAGUUGACCCCGGCAGUCUCGUGUGAGUCCCCAACUGAAUGCUGGCAACACACGACAAGGGUUGCGCUCGUUUACUGACUUAACAGUACACCUCACGGCACGAGCUGACGACAGCCAUGCACCACCUGUGAUCGUGCCCCGAAGGGAGGACGUGUUUCCACGCCCGUCACGAACAUGUCAAGCCCAGGUAAGGUUCUUGGCGUUGCGUCCAAUUAAACCACAUGCUCCGCUGCUUGUGCGGCCCCCCGUCAAUUCCUUUGAGUUUUAGCCUUGCGGCCGUACUCCCCAGGCGGAUCACUUAACGCGUUAGCUGUUUCACGGCAGGAGUCGAGCCCCACCACAAAUAGUGAUCAUCGUUUACGGCGUGGACUAC